rnacentral:rRNA from 1 species
GUGGGGAAUCUUGCGCAAUGGGCGAAAGCCUGACGCAGCCAUGCCGCGUGGAUGAUGAAGGUCUUAGGAUUGUAAAAUCCUUUCACCGGUGAAGAUAAUGACUGUAGCCGGAGAAGAAGCCCCGGCUAACUUCGUGCCAGCAGCCGCGGUAAUACGAAGGGGGCUAGCGUUGCUCGGAUUUACUGGGCGUAAAGGGCGCGUAGGCGGACAUUUAAGUCAGGGGUGAAAUCCCGGGGCUCAACCUCGGAAUUGCCUUGGAUACUGGGGGUCUGGAGUAUGAGAGAGGUGUGUGGAACGCCGAGUGUAGAGGUGAAAUUCGUAGAUAUGCGGAAGAACACCAGUGGCGAAGGCGACACACUGGCUCAUUACUGACGCUGAGGCGCGAAAGCGUGGGGAGCAAACAGGAUUAGAAACCCGGGUAGUCC